UCAGAUAUGGUGUACGGUUACAUCGCCUCUAUCGAUAACUGGUAAUUUUUCAACCCAUUUGUCAGAGGCAGGCCGGGGUUCGACUCCCUGUGUCUGAG